AUUGAACGCUGGCGGCAGGCCUAACACAUGCAAGUCGAACGAGUGGCGGACGGGUGAGUAAUGUCUGGGAACCUGCCUGAUGGAGGGGGAUAACUACUGGAACCGGUAGCUAAUACCGCAUACCAUCGGAUGUGCCCAGAUGGGAUUAGCUAGUAGGUGGGGUAAAGGCUCACCUAGGCGACGAUCCCUAGCUGGUCGGAGAGGAUGACCAGCCACACUGGAACGGAGACACGGUCCAGAAUCCUACGGGAGGCAGCAGUGGGGAAUAUUGGACAAUGGGCGAAAGCCUGAUCCAGCCAUGCCGCGUGGGUGAAGAAGGGCUUCGGAUUGUAAAGCACUUUAAGGUGGGAGGCGUUACCAACAGAAUAAGCACCGGCUAACUUCGUGCCAGCAGCCGCGGUAAUAC
rnacentral:rRNA from 1 species